rnacentral:rRNA from 1 species
UUACGCUGUUAUCCCUAAGGUAAUUUAGUCUUAUAAUCAACAAAAAUGGAUCAAAUAUAUAUAAAUAAAUAUAAAAAAAAUAAAAAGAGUUAAUUAAAUCUUUCCAUCACCCCAACAAAAUAAAUUUUCAAAUUAAAAAAAUAUCAUACAAAAAAAUAAAAACAUAUAUAAACUCUAUAGGGUCUUCUCGUCCCAAAAAAAUAUUUAGGCAUUUUAACCUAAAAUUUAAAUUCAAUAAAUAAAUUAAAGACAGUUUACACCUCGUCAAACCAUUCAUUCCAGCCUACAAUUAAAAGACUAAUGAUUAUGCUACCUUUGCACGGUCAAAAUACCGCGGCCCUUCAAUACUCAGUGGGCAGGCCAUACAUCAAAAUAUAUUCAAGAAGAGAUGUUUUUGAUAAACAGGCG